rnacentral:miRNA from 1 species
UGGCCAAAUUUAGCAUUUAUAUUUGUUUGUGUGUUAAAAAUGCAAAAAACAAUUAUGAAUGCUAAAUUUGGCCA